UACGAAGGGGGCUAGCGUUGCUCGGAAUCACUGGGCGUAAAGGGUGCGUAGGCGGGUCUUUAAGUCAGGGGUGAAAUCCUGGAGCUCAACUCCAGAACUGCCUUUGAUACUGAAGAUCUUGAGUUCGGGAGAGGUGAGUGGAACUGCGAGUGUAGAGGUGAAAUUCGUAGAUAUUCGCAAGAACACCAGUGGCGAAGGCGGCUCACUGGCCCGAUACUGACGCUGAGGCGCGAAAGCGUGGGGAGCGAACGGG
rnacentral:rRNA from 1 species